GACGAACGCUGGCGGCGUGCCUAAUACAUGCAAGUAGGACGCAGUUGCGAACGGGUGAGUAACGCGUAGGUAACUGCCUAUUAGAGGGGGAUAACUAUUGGAAACGAUAGCUAAUACCGCAUAAUAGUACAUGGACCGGCGUUGUAUUCGCUAGUAGGUAGGGUAAUGGCAUACCUAGGAAACGAUACAUAGCCGACCUGAGAGGGUGAUCGGCCACACGUGGACUGAGACACGGCCCAGACUCCUACGUGAGGCAGCAGUAGGGAUUCUUCGGCAAUGGGGGGAACCCUGACCGAGCAACGCCGCGUGAGUGAAGAAGGUUUUCGUAGCGUAAAGCUCUGUUGUUAAGGAAGCGGUACUUAACCAGAAAGGGACGGCUAACUACGUGCCAGCCGCCGCGGUAAUAC
rnacentral:rRNA from 1 species